rnacentral:rRNA from 1 species
AGCAGCCGCGGUAAUUCCAGCUCCAAUAGCGUAUAUUAAAGUUGUUGCAGUUAAAAAGCUCGUAGUUGAAUUUCGGGGUUAGUAGGUUGGUCAUGCCUCUGGUAUGUACUGGUCUCACUGAUUCCUCCUUCCUGAUGAGCCGUAAUGCCAUUAAUUUGGUGUUGCGGGGAAUUUGGACUGUUACUUUGAAAAAUUAGAGUAGUUUAAAGCAAGCUAACGCUUGAAUACAUUAGCAUGGAAUAAUGAAAUAGGACGUUCGAUCCUAUUUUGUUGGUUUCUAGGUAUUGACGUAAUGAUUAAUAGGGAUAGUUGGGGGCAUUAGUAUUCAAUUGUCAGAGGUGAAAUUCUUGGAUUUAUGAAGACUAACUACUGACGAAAGCAUUUGCAAGGAUGUUUCAUUAAU